AUGGGGGAAAGCCUUUUAAAGUUUAUUCAAGGAAGAAAGGGAAGACCUAAGUAAACUUUAAGUAGGAUUAAUAUAAUUAGAAUUUGAGUCAUGAUAGGUUAUUAGAGUCCUAGUAGAAUAGGUUAUUAGAGUCCUAGUAGACUUUGGAUUUCUUAGAGAAGCCUAUAAAUAGGCUAAUCAAUGUAAAUCAAAGGAA